UACAUGCGCCCAUCCAGGUCCUACAUUGUCAGUAACACAUGCAUGUGUAUCUUGUCAAAUCGACGAGGUUAUUAUAUGGAACUCAUCAGGAAUUACAAAUUAUCUAUCCUGAAUUCUUGAUGAUACCUGAGAAGAUGGGGUGAUCUAUAUAUGGACUGGCCAAGAAUGCUAUAAUGGUCUAAUUGUUCGUUUACUCGGAAGAAUAAUAACUGUGGAGAGAGAGAGAGAGAGAGAGAGAGAGAGAGAGAGAGAGAGAGAGAGGUGUACAAGAGGUGGAGUGGUACCAAUUGCACAGCUAGCCAUGCACGGGUGCAUGCACUGUUGCCGCGCACGCGCUUCCCUUGAU
rnacentral:lncRNA from 1 species